GGAAAUCCCUCCAAACACUAUCCCUCUCUUUGAAAAUUCCUGCCGCGCCAUUAUUAAUCAACCCCUCUUCUCCGCUCUCUCUCUUUUCCUUCUUUUUUUAACGGUCCUUCGCCGCUGCACAAUCAAUACUCUCUCUCUAUACCUUUCCCUCCAUUCCGCAAUUCUACUGUCCUUACGUUUCCUUCGCUAUCUCGGAUCCCUUUACAAUUACAACACCAUGCCUUUAUCAUCUACCGAAGGGCCGGAAUCCUCUUGUCGGCACCACAACUACAGCAGGAAACAGAAAUCUCUCGGUCUCCUUUGCACUAAUUUCUUGAGCUUGUAUGAUAGGGACGGUAUUGAAGUCAUUGGGCUGGAUGAUGCUGCCUCGAAAUUAGGUCUUUUAUAUAUCUUGAUUACUGUGAUGCAAUUUUUUUUGUUGAUUAUGUUUGCGAUCUGAUUUGGGUGGGAUCUUAACUACAUUGGAUUUUGAGAUCUGCAGGCGUUGAGAGACGGCGGAUCUAUGAUAUUGU
rnacentral:misc_RNA from 1 species